UGCACGUCUAAGUACAGACUGAUCUAAAAGUGAAACCGCGAAUGGCUCAUUAAAUCAGUUGUGGUUCCUUGGAACUUUCUCCCCUACUUGGAUUAAUGUUGUAAUUUUAGAGCUUAUACCUGCCAGCAGAGCUCCGACCGUAAGGGACGAGCGCUUUUAUUAGACCAACCAAUCGGGCUUUGCCCGUUCUUGGUGGCGACUCUGGAUAACUUCGAGCAGAUCGCACGGGUCCACCCCGGCGACGUAUCCUUCAAGUGUCUGCCUUAUCAACUGUCGAUGGUAGGUUACGCGCCUACCAUGGUCGUAACGGGUGACGGGGAAUCAGGGUUCGAUUCCGGAGAGGCAGCCCGAGAAACGGCUACCACAUCCAAGGAAGGCAGCAGGCGCGCAAAUUACCCACUCCUGGCUCGGGGAGGUAGUGACGAAAAAUAACGAUACGGGACUCUUUCGAGACCCCGUAAUCGGAAUGAGUACGCUGUAAAUACUCUAACGAAAGCAAUCGAAGGGCAAGUCUGGUGCCAGCCGCUGCGGUAACUCCAGCUUCGAUAGCGUAUAUUAAAGUUGCUGCGGUUAAAAAGCUCGUAGUUGGAUCUCAGUUCCAGGCGGGCGGUCCGCCUCCACGGCGGUAACCGCACGUUCUGAACACUCUGCCGAUUGCACGUUGUGAUCUUCACCGGUUGUGACGGGCGGCCGGCGAGUUUACCUUGAAGAAAUUAGAGUGCUCAAGGCAGGCACUGGUGCCCGAAUAAUGGUGCAUGGAAUAAUGGAAUAAGACCUCGUCUCUAUUUUGUUGGUUUUCGGAACACGAGGUAAUGAUUAAGAGGGACAGACGGGGGCAUUCGUAUUGCGGCGCUAGAGGUGAAAUUCUUGGACCGCCGCAAGACGAACUACUGCGAAAGCAUUUGCCAAGAAUGUUUCCAUUAAUCAAGAACGAAAGUUAGAGGUUCGAAGGCGAUCAGAUACCGCCCUAGUUCUAACCAUAAACGAUGCCAUCUAGCGAUCCGGCUGCGUUCCUCAAAUGACGCGCCGGGCAGUUUCCGGGAAACCAAAGACUUUGGGUUCCGGGGGAAGUAUGGUUGCAAAGCUGAAACUUAAAGGAAUUGACGGAAGAGCACACCAGGAAUGGAGCCUGCGGCUUAAUUUGACUCAACACAGGGCAACGAACCUGGUCCGGACACAGGAAGGAUUGACAGAUUAAGAGCUCUUUCUUGAUUCUGUGGGUGGUGGCGCAUGGCCGUUUGUAGUUGGUGGAGUGAUUUGUCUGGUUUAUUCCGAUAACGAACGAGAUCCUGGCCUGCUAAAUAGUGGUUCCGGCUUUCCUUGGGCCGGCCAAUCUUCUUAGAGGGACAAGCGGCGUUUAGCCGCACGAGAUGGAGCAAAAACAGGUCUGCAUGCCCUUAGAUGUCCAGGGCCGCACGCGCGCUACAUUGAAGGAAUCAGCGUGCGCUCUCCCUGUCCGGCAGGACCGGGUAACCCCAUGAAUUUCCUUCGUGCUGGGGAUAGGAGAUUGUAAUUGUUCUCCUUGAACGAGGAAUUCCUCGUAAGCGCGGGUCACCAGCUCGUGCUGAUUACGUCCCUGCUCUUUGUCCACACCGCCCGUCGCUACAACUGAUUGAGUGGCCUAUUGAGGUCCUCGGACUGGCUCUCGGCCAGUGCCUUCGGGUACGGCAGUGUCUGCCGGAAAGACCCCCGAAACAGGCCGCUUAAAAAAUGUAAA
rnacentral:rRNA from 1 species